UGGCACACCAGUAGACCCUUUUUGGUUUGUUAGUAGUCAUUAAGGGGGGACAGCGUGCUGCCAGAGAAACUGCAGAGCUGCUCACCAGAUGCAACCAGGUCCAGUUCAGUGGAUGGUUGAACUGCAUUGCUCUCCCAUUG